GGUGAGUAACACGUGAGCAACCUGCCCCUGACUCUGGGAUAAGCGGUGGAAACGCCGUCUAAUACCGGAUACGACCUGCCACCUCAUGGUGGAGGGUGGAAAGUUUUUCGGUCAGGGAUGGGCUCGCGGCCUAUCAGCUUGUUGGUGGGGUAACGGCCUACCAAGGCGAUUACGGGUAGCCGGCCUGAGAGGGCGACCGGCCACACUGGGACUGAGACACGGCCCAGACUCCUGCGGGAGGCAGCAGUGGGGAAUAUUGCGCAAUGGGCGAAAGCCUGACGCAGCGACGCCGCGUGGGGGAUGACGGCCUUCGGGUUGUAAACCUCUUUUACCACCAACGCAGGCUCGAAGUUUUCUUCGGGUUGACGGUAGGUGGGGAAUAAGGACCGGCUAACUACGUGCCAGCAGCCGCGGUAAUACGUAGGGUCCGAGCGUUGUCCGGAAUUAUUGGGCGUAAAGAGCUCGUAGGCGGCGUGUCGCGUCUGCUGUGAAAGACCGGGGCUUAACUCCGGUUCUGCAGUGGAUACGGGCAUGCUA
rnacentral:rRNA from 1 species